rnacentral:tRNA from 1 species
GGAGAUUGUCAGUGGCAAGGCAUCUGCUUUGCAUGCAGAAGGUCACAGGUUCAAUCCCUGGCAUCUCCA